GGGGCGGAGCCAGCCCU
rnacentral:misc_RNA from 1 species